CUAUUCCACAGCUGCUUGUGGUGCCUACACACUCCUUUCCUGUGUGCAGCCAACAAACAGAAAUGUAGCUACUAGCAUGCUAUGACAAAAACUGAAGAGAACAAAGCAACACAGUACUAUCUACAGAAGAAAAAACAAGACAAAACAACAACAAAAAAAAGCAUGUUCAUCAGAAGCCUCAUUUCAGCUCCUCAUAAAACAACUGGAAUCUGUUUUCAGAUGAAAAACACUCAUAUGCUUCCAAUCUUUAUUUCAGACCUUGAGGAGUUCAUGCCUUUUUCUGAUAUGCCACAUAAUAUGUAUCUGUAGGACUGAUAUAUUUGUGGGGAUGCAAUUGCACCACUCAGAAGAGCACUCAGCAACAAAUAGUUAGGCACAGGAUUCCUUGUAAUAUAUUAGGACUGGAGCUUGUCUAAAAGGAGUUCACAAGGUGAAUUUAAAAGCUGAUCAAUUAGGAUUUAAUUCAUUAAAAAUAUGCUACAGAAUUUGUCAUCAAAAUUCUAGAAGUUGAAACUAAAAACACCUAGCAGGAAUUAUGGCAUACUUAGAACUAAUUAAUUUCACUAAGGCUGUUCAAGAUUGAAGUCUACAAUGACUUCAUCAAAAUAAAGGCUCUACCCAAUUAUCACCAAUCUGGCCCAAUAAAAUAAUCAGCAUGAUGUUUGAAUCACUAUGAGAGCAUGAUGACUGCACAACACUUAGAAGAAAAACAGUUUUUGAAAAAGACAUUUUAUUAUGUUUAUCAACAAGAACUGUAAAAGUAAAACAAACACAAAAUGAUCACCAAAGCCAGUAUUAUCUCUAACAUGAAAAAAACUAUACAGGUUCCAUUAAUUCUUAUGUCAACAAGUUAAUAUCGUCUUCAAAACUCUUUGCUAAUGCAAAAGCUAACAAGUUCUGGGCUCUCAGUUACUCCUAAAAGGCUUCCUGACUAAUUUCUGCUUAAAAUUAAAGAAAUAUUUGCAAUA